rnacentral:lncRNA from 1 species
CUUUUUCCAGUAAGAAAACCCCAAGAAAAACGAAGAAACAAACGUAUCUCCUUGAUAAAUCCAUUUGAAGUUCACAGCUUGUAACCGACUAUAUGCCGUUCUGCUAGCAGAUAAGGAAAACUUUGGAUAUCUAGAUUUCAAACGAAACACAAUAUAAAGAGGUUAUGAACUACAAAAAGGAUGUGGGCACUUGACAAAAACAACGAGGUUGAGCGAACUUUCAAUUUCCAUGUUAGAAACACGCCCUUUAUUUCAUCUUAAAAAUGUUGUUUAGACAUAUACUUACUGUAAUUUCAUUAGAAAAUAAUGUUUAAUUUGGUUUGAAAUAAGGUUUAAUGCAUGGACACUAUAAUUAGCAAAAUUUAAGUGCCAUUUCUUGAUUGUGGGAGGUUUUAAACGGAAUUCUUAACCAAUAUAAAAUACUUUUGUUCUUGUAAAAAACAUCACGUGUAUUUAUAUGGCAAAAUUUUCGAAAGCUCGAAUCUUUA